AUUAUACCUCCCUCCCCAUAACUCUCUGUUGGGGUGAAGCUUUCAACAAAUAUACGCAGCAAGAGGAUUACAACAGCUAACACAGGAAGCUGAAAUCCUGGGGUCUGCCUUAUGUUCCCUCAGUUCUACCCCAGUUUUAAAAUGUGCUUUUCAUCCAUGACCAGGCCAUGUUUCGGCCAUUUUGCGCGCUAGGCAAGUCUGCAAUAGACCUUCUACCCGGAAAAGAAAUAGGCCUAUAGUGUACAAUGUUGGCCUAUAAUGUCCUUUUAUAACUAGGCCUAACAUUUGAUAGCCUAAAACAUGCAGUUGCAUUGGCUUUAUUAACCCAGUCCGGAUUCCUGACAAAGGCUUAUAGGGACUUGUCCUUUAAGAUAUGAACAUCAGCUACCCAUCAGCUACCCAAUGUUAUUAUGAGUUUUCUUGAGGCUUUUUGCAAAGAGAUCAAUGCUGAUGUAAAGGCCUACGUCUUCACAGCAGUACAAACCUGAAAUCACGUAUUAUCAUGACAUUUUAUUCCACAUUGUGAAACCAGGGAUCUAGUGGAAGAUAAAUGCAAAUAUGAUUAAAAAAAGGCCUGUUAUAAGAGAGAAAGAGAGAUUGCGGGAGUAGCUGAGUGCCUAUAGUGAGAGAUGGCUGUUAAUAUCAGUAGGCUGUUUGAGUGGUCUGUGGGCAGGUAAUUAAUCUGAUUGCUGAUGGGUUAGGUUGCUAGAUCGAAUAUUAACCUGCCAUAAGCUACUUUUGUGUCAGCAAGUCUCCCCAGUUAAAAAUGUACAUAUCCACCACUCCAUCUCUCAUGUACAGACCAUUCAAGUAGCUGCACUUAACACCUCACUGAUACUGAUUGUGUAAGCUACAAACCCAAAUUGUCUAAGGAAAUGUGGCUAACAGUAAUAACAUUGCAGACAUAUUCAGAAAUCUGGGCUGAUGGAAUCAUUGUUAUGCAUAUCUACUGGCCAUAAUUUCCGCUUGAGACCCUGCCCCUCCCCCACUGCAAAGUGCACAAAAGUACCAAACUAUCAAAGGUUUUAUAGGUCAACAGUCCCCCCCCCCUCCCCCUGACCUUUGUAUAUUAUUUAUAUAUACUUGUGUUCCCAAAUGUACUUCCUGUAUUGAUUUGUUGUUAAUAAAAAUAUAAUAAUAAUAAAAGAUACAGAGUUCCCCCUCCCCCAUGUUGCAGCAUAAAUCUCUGCCCAAGGUUGCCAUGUACACUAUUUUGUGGUUUAUUGAUGUACUUUUAAAACUUUGCGGCAGGUGAAAGAUUUUGGUCGCUAGGUGGAAGUUGUUAUACUACUUCUAUAUUGCAACGUUACCAACAUGGCAUUUUUUAAAAAUCAUUAUUUUCCCUGUAUUCUGCUAAAAUUGUGCUAGUGAAGGUGGGUUUUGAAGUCUGGUUUGCGCAGACUCCUAGAAAUUUGAAGUUGACCUGGCAAGCCUGUCCCUGCCUGAGCGUGAUCACCACUGAAGUAGCUGUGCAGCACGUGUUUUAAGGAAGAGGAGGAUGGUUGCAGAUGUUUGCAUUCAUGCAAGAAGGUAAGCUAUUAACUAAACUGUUAACCAAUAUUUUAGCUAAAAUUGUAUUUGGUGUAUUGACAAGCAAUGCAUGUUCUCGUUGUCUUUAUUUUUAAUGAAUUAAUGUCAGUCAUGUAUGUCUUUCGGUGGAAUCCAACAUGCAUUGAUGAUGUCUGAAAGCCGCAUUGUGUCAGAUAUACUGCGUCAUGACAGAUUGAAAUUGGCAGGUUUAUCCAAACAAUUCAUUAAUGUGCAAUUGUUACUUUGCAUGUUUCUACCUUAUAGGUAUUUGUGGCUUGCUAACGGUUAGCAUGCUACCCAUGCUAGUUAAAAAAAAAAGAAGGUAGCUAUGGUUGCAAGCUAGCUAAUAAGUUUAGCAUAAUUGGUAAACGUGUCUUUGAUUCAGAAUACAUGAUUGUGGUUAACAAUGUUGCAUGUAUUGGAAGAUAAUAUUGCUAUAGUGUAACAAGCUAGCAAGAAAAGCCAGUUCCUUUUCAUCAUUUUUGUCAAGUUAUAAGCCUGUAUGUGUGUUAAAAUAUUUAAACCCCCUCAUUAAAUUCAUGUAUUGAAGUUGCGCCCGUUUUUUAUAGCACUUUCUUACCCAAAUACCGUUUUUUACAUUGAAAUAAUUCAGAUGAAAAUAAGAAAUAUGUUAAACUAAUUAAGAAAUAAGUGACCAGAUUUUUUUUAUUGAAAACCAUGGACAUUAUUUUGGGUGGGGGGAGGGGCGUGGUGCGGUUCCUCGUUCUUCUUUUUUUUGCACAUAAAAGAGUGAAACACCACAACAAGAAUAAGGGUUGUGGAAAGUGUCAAUUUUGGUAGGACUGUGACAAUUCACUGUCUUGAAAAAUACAUACAUACAAUACAUACAUAUAUUGGCAGAUUCUUUAACCAAAUCCCUAUUUCUUACACACAUUUUUUAAGAUCGAAAACAUAAUGGAAGAUAAGAGUCCAGGAACCUACAAAGUAACCAAUGCGGUAUGUUUUCUGAUUUGCCUAGUAUUUAGAGUACGCUUGCCUUGCUUUAGCCAAACCACUCAUACUGAUUCUCUUUUAGUCCAUCCAUAAAAGAACAUUCAGCUUUAGUUGCAUGCAGGAACUUGCAUAAUGUGCUUAUUUUAUGCUUAUACUUGCUUUUUUACCUUGAAAGUAGUUUUAAAAAACAGAAAUGGUAAUAGAUGUUUGUUGGACCUCUUAGUCAAUGAUAACAGUCAUUGGUGUCCCCCAGCCCAUCCCCUGUUGUGUGCCGAGCAAUCUUGUCAUUCUAUUAAGUCUCAACUAUUCUUUUUGUCUUCCUUUACAAAGGCACUGCAGAGGCUAAGAAGGCGCAUGUAAAAUCUAAAGAAGCAUAGUUCAACUUCAACCAGAUUUGAAAAGGAAAAGAAAAGAUAAAUCCCGAAGCGCAGAUGUCAGACACCGAGGCUGCCAGUACCUCUGAGGCGGACAGUACUUCUGGGUCGAUAGUCAAUGUGUUGGAUGAUGCACCACCGUUGAUCAGAACAGACAGUAUAUACUUGACCAAAGCUAUGCUUGGAUACAAGACUGAUGACUCAAUAACCAGCAUUGGCAACAGUGUAGAUGGUUAUGUCCCAGGAUCAUCAGAGAAGGGCAAUUUUUAUGAAGAAAAUCUGACAGGAGAGAUGUCAGUGAUUCGGGCCAAAAAGUCAAUGACCAAGGGAUUGGGGCAAAAGAGAGACUCACACGGAGAGAUGUCAGCGAUUCGGGCCAAAUAGCCAAUGACCAAGGGAAAGCUGGAACAAGAGACGUUCACACGCGGCCACUGAUAGUUCAUCAGAGAAUGACUCUGAGAGAGAGGAGUCGUCUGAAGAAUCCUAUGAAGAAAAUCUGACCGGUAUGCCUAUACCUUACAUGGACGUAUUCUUAAUUACAAUGUCCUUUUCGACAUGUUUUCCACUGAUGUUUUCCAGGAGAGAUGUCAGCUAUUCAGGCCAAACAGCCAAUGGCCAAGGGAAAGCUGGGACAAAGGAGAGGCUCACACAGUGCCAAAGGAACAAAAAGGUUUUGGUCGACAAUAGAGGUGGAUGCAGUUGAAGAUUCCUUGAUGAAUUUUAUCCGAAUGGGAAAAACGCCUGGAAAACAAGACUGUGAGAAAUGCAUUGCUGCUUCUGGCCAAGCGCUAGUAAACAGGGACAGGAGAGCAGUAAAGUUCUAUGUACACAACAGAAUAGUUGCAGAUCAGAGAAAAUAAGUGUAAAUAAGCUUCUAUCUUGGUGUACAUCUGAGGAUUUAAUGGGACUUACUUGACUUAAGCUCAUAGGCAGUUGAUGAAUGUCCUCCAUCUCACUCUGUUUGGGGGAAGUUUUCCCAGGUGGGUGGUUCACUUUUGGAGUGACUAAGGUCUCAAGAAUACAAAGCCUGCUGACUUUGAAUGUUACAGAAAAAUAAAAUACAUUUUUCUAAACUAUUAA